rnacentral:rRNA from 1 species
AACGAACGCUGGCGGCAUGCCUAACACAUGCAAGUCGAACGAGACCUUCGGGUCUAGUGGCGCACGGGUGCGUAACGCGUGGGAACCUGCCUUUAGGUUCGGAAUAACUCAGAGAAAUUUGAGCUAAUACCGGAUGAUGUCUUCGGACCAAAGAUUUAUCGCCUUUAGAUGGGCCCGCGUUGGAUUAGCUAGUUGGUGGGGUAAAGGCCUACCAAGGCGACGAUCCAUAGCUGGUCUGAGAGGAUGAUCAGCCACACUGGGACUGAGACACGACCCAGACUCCUACGGGAGGCAGCAGUGGGGAAUAUUGGACAAUGGGCGAAAGCCUGAUCCAGCAAUGCCGCGUGAGUGAUGAAGGCCUUAGGGUUGUAAAGCUCUUUUACCCGAGAUGAUAAUGACAGUAUCGGGAGAAUAAGCUCCGGCUAACUCCGUG